rnacentral:rRNA from 1 species
AGAGUUUGAUCCUGGCUCAGGAUGAACGCUAGCGACAGGCUUAACACAUGCAAGUCGAGGGGCAGCACAGGUAGCAAUACCGGGUGGCGACCGGCGCACGGGUGAGUAACGCGUAUGCAACUUACCUAUCAGAGGGGGAUAACCCGGCGAAAGUCGGACUAAUACCGCAUGAAGCAGGGGCCCCGCAUGGGGAUAUUUGCUAAAGAUUCAUCGCUGAUAGAUAGGCAUGCGUUCCAUUAGGCAGUUGGCGGGGUAACGGCCCACCAAACCGACGAUGGAUAGGGGUUCUGAGAGGAAGGUCCCCCACAUUGGUACUGAGACACGGACCAAACUCCUACGGGAGGCAGCAGUGAGGAAUAUUGGUCAAUGGCCGAGAGGCUGAACCAGCCAAGUCGCGUGAGGGAUGAAGGUUCUAUGGAUCGUAAACCUCUUUUAUAAGGGAAUAAAGUGCGGGACGUGUCCCGUUUUGUAUGUACCUUAUGAAUAAGGAUCGGCUAACUCCGUGCCAGCAGCCGCGGUAAUACGGAGGAUCCGAGCGUUAUCCGGAUUUAUUGGGUUUAAAGGGUGCGUAGGCGGCCUUUUAAGUCAGCGGUGAAAGUCUGUGGCUCAACCAUAGAAUUGCCGUUGAAACUGGGGGGCUUGAGUAUGUUUGAGGCAGGCGGAAUGCGUGGUGUAGCGGUGAAAUGCAUAGAUAUCACGCAGAACCCCGAUUGCGAAGGCAGCCUGCCAAGCCAUGACUGACGCUGAUGCACGAAAGCGUGGGGAUCAAACAGGAUUAGAUACCCUGGUAGUCCACGCAGUAAACGAUGAUCACUAGCUGUUUGCGAUACACUGUAAGCGGCACAGCGAAAGCGUUAAGUGAUCCACCUGGGGAGUACGCCGGCAACGGUGAAACUCAAAGGAAUUGACGGGGGCCC